GGUCUCUCCACUGGGCCCACCGGGAUGCUGGGCAGCCGGCCCAGAUCCCCAGCAGCAGCUGGAGUUGCCAGGUGCGGAAGCAGGUGGUCCUUACUCGCAAAUGUUGAGGGACCUCACAGACUGGUCCUGGGAAGACCCACAGAUGGCAGGUGGAGAUGGGACGGCGGUCUCUCUACCGGCCCUACAGGGAUGCUGGGCGGUCGGCCCAGAUCCCCAGCGGCAGUAUGUAUCACAGGGAGCUGAAGGUGCUGUCCUUCCUCCCCAGCGGCAGUAUGUAUCACAGGGAGCCAAAGGUGCCGUCCUUCUUCCCCAGCGGCAGUGUAUUUCAC